rnacentral:lncRNA from 1 species
GUAGCAUUAGAGGGAAAAGCAGUGAUACAGCUGUACUGGGAGGGGCAAGAGGGGUGGGCAAGGGGCGAUAGGAACUGACGGCGGCGUGCUGUAUUUAUUUAGAAACAUGGGCUUGACCACCAGAGGUAACCAAAAACAGAAACAGUUAAAGGUAAAGCCCUUGGGAAUGAGGAGGGGCAGAACUGGGGGUGAGGGGCAGGGGCAGGCCAGGAACUAUUGCUCAUCACAUAAGUCCUUUUGUUCUUUUAUUAUGUCAAUAACUUUUUAUAAUUAUUAUUCAAGCUCAGCUUUUAAAAAGUCACAAUUGCUAUGAAUCCUUCCCAGCAGACUGAUUUCUUGAGUCAGAGACUUGUCCCGGUUCUAUGUGUUCCCCAUCAACUCCAUCACGUCUUCAUUUUAGAAUGAGUUCCCAAAUGCAUCCGUCAGCCUAGAGGCUCUUCACGACACUGCCCACGGGGAUGAGAUAUCUGCCCACAGGGAGAGUGGACUGAUUGUCCCUGGUGUGGAGGAGAAGAAACGAACUCGCUGUGAGGUGGGGAAGCCACAGAGGCUACCGAGAUGCAGGUUUGCAGAGGGGCUGUGAGUCUCUUUCAUUUCCCCAGGGCAUACACCUUCUUUCUGAAUAGAGAAACACAUAACCUUAAGUUAUUUCACAGUAAUUUAUUUGUCUGUGAAUAUAUGUUACUUUGUCCCCAAAAGAAGAUUUAAAAAAUAGCACUUUGUAAUGUCUAGCAAGUCCAAAUUACCUAGAGCCACGUUAUGCAUUUGUGCAGGUUCUAUAUUCAAAUACCCUGAAAAUGCUCUAAGGUAUAUAUGAUCAUUCAGUUGUGUCUAUUUAAGAAGCAUUAUUGUGCUUUGGGAAGAGCACUAGACUGAGAGUAAAGAGAGCUGAAUUUUGGCCACAGGUUAUGUGACCUCCUGCCUCUAGGAACAUCAAUUUCCUCUAAAAAAUGGGUUACUAGAUAGUUUCUAAUACUCCUUCCCAUUUAAUUGUCAGUGAUUCAAAUAUACGAUUAUAUUCCUAGAGAAUCCGAUAGUACCAGAAUGUCUAAGAAACAUGUUUUGAAACCAGCAAGUGAAUUUCACUGAAAUUUACUACUAAGUGAAAAAUCUUAUUUGUGAAUCUGAUUAUCU